CACUUAGACGUUAAUGACUCAGGAUUGUCAAGCUGCGGCCCAGCCCCCGUCACCCCGGAGCACCCAGCCUGUGAGCACUCAAUGCAGGGCACCUCCUCGUGCUUGGCACAUGCCUGGCCCGUGUCAGGGGGCUCAGCAAGAGGUGCGGACGCAGGGGGAGGGACAUUGCACAAGGAGCAGGAGGAGUGAAGCUCCAGCACAAAGAGGCUUGUACACCAGCCAACAUCUCACCCAGCCUGGGGUCCCUGCGCCGCGGUUUCUCAUGGAAAUCAGAAGCAUCUUUUAGAUCCACAUCAAGAAUAGGGUUUAAGACAGCUGCUAAUGACUGACCCGAGGUCUGUUCACACACAGUCCCCUGCAUGGCUGGAGCAGCAAGACAAGAUGGGGGGUUAUUUUACAGUGUUCUCGUAGCCAGUGGCAGAGACACGUCUGCUUGAGGGAUGCUCCAUCUCGCUCCCUGGAGGGAUUCCUGAGCCCUGGCAACCUGAUGGCAGAGCCGUGGAGGUGCCCUGGCAAGGAAGGGGCGGCAGUGAGUCACAGCACCUCAGACUGGCACCAUGGGGAACUGGUUUCUGUUCUUUGCCAUAGAUCCCCAGGAGCCAGCGUGGCACCAGAGAGGAUCACGCUGAUUGGGCUGGUGUGUGAGCGUAGCCAUGAGGCAGUCUGCAUGGAGCUGGGGGAACAGCAUGCACAGGUGUUGCUUAGUGACAACACCUGGAAGAUGUGAGCCUGUAGCAAACGCCGCGUGUCAGGCUGUGGGUGUAGACUGCCCGACAGAGUGCGGCCCGGCACAUCCCCCCGUUUCACAGAGGUAGCCGGCUGCAGUGGGAGAGGAGCGAGGCUAAGGAUAGCUCUGAGUCAGCGGGGCUUUCUUGCCAGGGUCACUUCUCCGAGCCAGUGCAAAUCCCGAUGCCUUGGCCUUUUCACAGAGUUAGUUUUCUGAGGAGGGGAACAAGAGCUAGUGGCUGGGAAAUGUUCUAGAUGCUUAUGAAUGGGGGUGACGCCAAAGCAGUUCAUGCUUGUCUGAAACCUCCCCCUGGAAAGAGAACAGAUUCCUUAGGGCUCCCCCAGCCCGCCCUUGGGGCAGUGGGCCAGGAAGGCAGGGCUGGGUUUGCAGUGUCUGUCUGCAGAUUAUCCUCAGACUGCCGGCUACUUCAUUCGCCCGACCUGUAUGAAUGACGGUGCUUAGCCUGUCUGGCUUGCCGGGGUGCUCUCCACCCCCCUGAGUGAGAUACCGAGGUGCUAGAAGCCGAGGGGUCACCUGCCAGUGGUGGUAGCUCUGGAAAUACUGAAUGGGAAAUGGUAGUGGGGGGAGGAGCUUAAGGAACAAGUUCACCCUACUGGCCUUUCAUCACCGGCUCAUGCCCUGACUUCUCUGCUGCAGAGAAUGUUCCUUUUGUGAAUGGUGCUGAGCCCGGUACCCGUGGAGCUGGGGUGGGGGCCAGCAGGUCUGCUCUGAAUUUCCCCAGACCCAUGGAGCUUGUAUGGUGUGAUGUCCUCGUGUCAGCACGAUAGCUCGGGGCUCAGAGGGACCCAGGCGGUCCCCAGGCCACCUGGCUCCUCCACCACUGUUCUUGCACUGUCUCUAUCACCUGUCGGCGACAUUCUGGGGCCUUUCUCUACCAUGCCUGUCCUCUGCAGCUGGUGUCAAGUUGUAAUAAGAGGAGAGUGCAACAGGGAGAUUAGCUUGCCUCAAUGCCUGUCUGCUAGGCGAUGUGUUUAGAAACCCAUCAGCCUCCAAGAGCAAUGUGGAGCACCCAGGAUUAAAUGCCACCUCUCAGAACUCCCCUGAGCCACAUUCGUCCAUCACCGUCCUAAGCCAGUGCCGCCUUCCCACGGUAAAUGUAACAACUCCAGCACUUCCCUGCUGCUGGGAGGUGGGUGGGAACGCGCCCCAGGGAGGUAAGAGCAGCUUCCGCAGGCGGGGUGCUGUGGUGUGGCUUGCAAGUGAAUUCUUUUAGCAAAAUUAGCUGCAGGUGUGUUCCCGUUCAGGGAGGAACUCUCCGAGAAGCCAGCAUGGAGGGCUUCACGCCAGGGAGCUUUCAUUGGGCAAGUCCAGCUAUUUCCCAUGUGUGCCAGUACAGAGUGUGAACACUACAGCAUCCGUAGAGCAGGAGAGGAUGGAAUCUCCUGGCUGUAUCUGCCUACUCCUGACGAGAGGAACCAAGAGAGCCAGGUGGGGCACAGAAAGCCCUGUUUGGUUCCAGGGGGUUAUUUCCAGGUUUCCUUUCCCCCUUGCUUCCCGUCCCUGAGAUAUUCCCUAGCCAGUGGUUACCAACGUUUUUCAUCUGGCAGGUGCCAGACGAUGAGCCACAGAGGGCCAUGGUGACGGAGGAGCAUCCGCCGAAAUGCCGCCGAAAAUGGGUGCCGCCGCCUCUGGAUGACACUGCUUGUCAGUGGCAUU